rnacentral:rRNA from 1 species
UCAAGCGACUAAGUGUAUGUGGUGGAUGCCUUGGCGAUUACAGGCGAUGAAGGACGUCGCAGCCUGCGAAAAGCCGUGGGGAGCUGGCAAGCGAGCACUGAUCCACGGAUGUCCGAAUGAGGGAACUCACCCGCAAGGGUAUCUUGAAGUGAAUACAUAGCUUCAAGAGGCGAACGCAGCGAACUGAAACAUCUAAGUAGCUGCAGGAAAAGAAAUCAACCGAGAUUCUGAAAGUAGCGGCGAGCGAAAUUGGAAGAGCCUGCAAGUGAUAUUGAAUUCGAUACUGGAACGGUCUGGAAAGUCCGGCUACAGAGGGUGACAGCCCCGUACGGGAAAUUGGGUUCAAGGUACUGAGCUUGCGAGAAGUAGAGCGGGACACGUGAAAUCCUGCUCGAAGAUGGGGGGACCAUCCUCCAAGGCUAAAUACUCGUAAUCGACCGAUAGCGAACCAGUACUGUGAAGGAAAGGCGAAAAGAACCCCGGGAGGGGAGUGAAAUAGAUCCUGAAACCGCAUACAUACAAACAGUAGGAGCCCGCAAGGGUGACUGCGUACCUUUUGCAUAAUGGGUCAGCGACUUACGUUCAAUGGCAAGCUUAACCGAGUAGGGGAGGCGCAGCGAAAGCGAGUCCGAACAGGGCGACAUGAGUCGUUGGGCGUAGACCCGAAACCAGAUGAUCUAUCCAUGGCCAGGCUGAAGGUGUGGUAACACACACUGGAGGGCCGAACCGACUAGUGUUGCAAAAUUAGCGGAUGAGCUGUGGAUAGGGGUGAAAGGCUAAACAAAUCUGGAGAUAGCUGGUUCUCCCCGAAAACUAUUGAGGUAGUGCCUCGUGUAUGGCUCCAGGGGGUAGAGCACUGUUAUGGCUAGGGGGACAUGGCGUCUUACCAAACCAUGGCAAACUCCGAAUACUUGGAAGUCUGAGCACGGGAGACAGAGCACCGGGUGCUAACGUCCGGACUCAAAAGGGAAACAACCCAGACCGCCGGCUAAGGUCCCUAAUAUUGACUAAGUGGAAAACGAAGUGGGAAGGCUAAGACAGUCAGGAAGUUGGCUUAGAAGCAGCCAUCCUUCAAAGAAAGCGUAAUAGCUCACUGAUCGAGUCUUCCUGCGCGGAAGAUGUAACGGGGCUAAGUCAAUAACCGAAGCCGCGGAUUCGCAGCAAUGCGAGUGGUAGGGGAGCGUUCUGUAAGCCUGCGAAGGCGGAUCUGCGAGGACCGCUGGAGGUAUCAGAAGUGCGAAUGCUGACAUGAGUAACGUUAAAGCGGGUGAAAAGCCCGCUCGCCGCAAGCCCAAGGUUUCCUGCUCUACGUUCAUCGGAGCAGGGUGAGUCGGCCCCUAAGGUCAGGCUGAGAAGCGUAGCUGAUGGGAAGCUGGUUAAUAUUCCAGCACCGAUUUCAAGUGCGAAGGGGGGACGGAGUCCUGAAGGUCAUCCGGGUGUUGGACAUCCCGGUUUACGAGCGUAGGAGGUUGACAGGCAAAUCCGUCAACGGAUCUCCAAGGCGAAGGAUCGAGGUUGAGAGAUCAACUGAAGUGACUGAAUGGGCUUCCAGGAAAAGCCUCUAAGCAUCAGCUUGGAAUUGACCGUACCGCAAACCGACACUGGUGGGCGAGCUGAAUAUGCUCAGGCGCUUGAGAGAACUCAGGAGAAGGAACUCGGCAAAUUGACACCGUAACUUCGGGAUAAGGUGUGCCUUUGUAGUGUGAAGGGAGAAACACCCCGAGCAUGAAGAGGCCUCAGAGAAUCGGUGGCUGCAACUGUUUACUAAAAACACAGCACUCUGCAAAGAUGAAAGUCGACGUAUAGGGUGUGAUGCCUGCCCGGUGCUGGAAGAUUAAUUGAUGGGGUGCAAGCUCCUGAUCGAAGUCCCAGUAAACGGCGGCCGUAACUAUAACGGUCCUAAGGUAGCGAAAUUCCUUGUC